rnacentral:sRNA from 1 species
UGGCCUGGAUGCACCGGGCAUAACGGGCAG